rnacentral:rRNA from 1 species
UACGGAGGGGGCGAGCGUUGUCCGAAGUUACUGGGCGUAAAGCGCGCGUAGGCGGGUUGGUAAGUCCGCUGUGAAAGCCCGGAGCUCAACUCCGGAGGGUCGGUGGAUACUGCCAGUCUUGAAGGUGCUAGGGGGAGAUGGAAUUACCGGUGUAGCGGUGAAAUGCGUAGAGAUCGGUAGGAACACCAGUGGCGAAGGCGGUCUCCUGGGGCAUACUUGACGCUGAGGCGCGAAAGCUGGGGGAGCGAACGGG